CUUGCAAGAUAAAAUAAUCCCUAUCAGGGAUUAAAAC
rnacentral:other from 1 species